rnacentral:lncRNA from 1 species
GUGUGCAGCUUGACUCCUGAGUCAGCGAGACCAUGAACCCAUCAGAAGGAAAAAACUCCGAACAUCAGAAGGAACAAGUUUCAGACACGCCACCUUUAAGAACUGUGAUACUCACCGCGAGGGCCCGCGGCUUCAUUCUUGAAGUCCGUGAGACCAAGAACCUACCAAUUCCGAAUACGUUGGGUUCAAGUGGUUCUCCUGCCUCAGACUCCCGAAUACCUGGGACUACAGGCACCCACCACGCCCGGGUAAUUGUAUGACAAUGGAGAGGUGAUUACUGCGCUGAAAAUCAGUUUCCUGAAGUGAAAAAGGGAAUCAAGUUACGUCACAGAGCCUGGUGUGAGCGGCGCUCUGUCAACACCAGCUCUUCAUGGGUUGUGGUUUCCUCCAGUUCCUGGAUGUGUGGAGUUCAUCCUCCACUGACUGGCGCCCCGGUUGACAAUGAGGUCUGGAAAUUGGCAACUGAUGAAGGGAAGUGUAUCAGUCCGUUUUCAUGCUGCUGAUAAAGACACACCCGAGACUGGGAAGAAAAAGAGGUUUAAUGGACUUACACUUCGACAUGGCUGGGGAGGCCUCACAAUCGUGGUAGAAGGCAAGGAGGAGCAAGUCACAUCUUACGUGGAUGGUGGUGGGCAAAAGAGAGAGAGCUUGUGCAGGGGAACUCCUCUUUUUAAAAGUAUCAGAUCUCGUGAGAUUUAUUCACUAUUAUGACAACAGCAGAAGACAGACCUGCCCCCAUGAUUCAAUUACCUCCCACUGAGUGCCUCCCUCAACAUGUGGGAAUUACGAGUUAUACUUCAAGAUGAUUUGGGUGGGGACACACAGCCAAACCAUAUUAGGGAGCAGGAAAAAGAAACAAAAACAGCAACUAAUAACUCCCAAGACCACAGCUUCGCUCCUGUCUAGAGCUUUGCUACUUAGCCACAGGAACACGGGUGAUCAUACCUCAACAGAAGUCUGCCAGCAUUCAUUACGACCAGUGCUUAAUCUCAUCUGACAAUAUCAAUGUCAAAAUCAGAGCUUGGAGCUGGCGGUGUUUCAGCAGAGGAGUCUUUGGAGCUUCCACGAACUGGUUCAAUAAACAAUCUUGCUGUGAAACACAGAGCUUGGUAUUUAGAAGGGUUUUAGCUGGCAUAUCCACAAAGCUGCAGCAUCCUGUCCACUGCUAAUUCCACUGUGAAAUGUUGAAAUACAGCUCUUAGCUCCGAGAAAGCAUGUAGGCUUCUAUUUGCAUGCAAAUCAUUGCCAUUCAUGUGUGAACUACAGCAGGUAACAGCUCUGCCAGAUGGAAUAAUUUGGGGUAAGGCCAUCCUCUUUGUUAAAGGCCACAGGUAUCCAUGCAUGCUGCAGUGUAGCUCAUUCCUACUUUCCACGUCACCCCCUGGGGAAUAAUCAUUUUAAUGAUGGGCCUCAAGGAAAGGAAACGCCAUUCUACCCUGUCAUCAUUUAGUAAACAAAAUGGUGCCAAUUAGUGUAAUGCUGACCUAAUGUAAUAUUUGAUGCAAUUAGUAAAUUGAGAGGGAUAAAAAGGAACAUGGUAAAUUGAUAGAUCAAGAAAACUCCCUUGGAUUUUGAAAAAGUACAGAUUGCAUGCAUGUUUCAAGGAAAACCACUGUGGUCUCACCCCAGGUGGCAGUGCCUUGUAGUGGUUAGGAGUGUGUGUCUCUAGAAUCGGAAUGCUUGUGUCUCAAUCGCAGCUCUACCUCUUACUAACCAGAAGACUUUGAAUAAAACUCACACUUCCUAAGUGUCAACUUCAUCAUCUGUAAAGUGAAGAUAGUAGUAGACAAUUGAACUUAAUCCUCUCCUGGUCAUAUGAGGUAGGUCUGAUUUAAGUAGUUGAGCAGCCUGCCUGAUACAUGUAAAGCUUAACAAUAACUAUAAAUAAUCAUAAUUACAAUGAAUAAAAUAGCCAUAGAAGCUAGUUGCAUUAAAUUUAUUUGUAAUAAAUGUAGUAGCUAAUGCUGUACUUGAUCAAUUCACAGAGCUGAUUUCUCCAAUAAAUAGGAAGCUCCUAAGUAUAGAGACCAUGUCUUCUCUUCUUGUCAUCAGUGGUUUGCUCACCAUCUAACACUUAGGAUGUAUUCAACAAAUGGUUAUUAAAUGCACAGGUUUUAAAA